CUAACCAAGAGUUAUGAACGAGUCAAAGGAUGGAUUUUGAAUGCUGAAGCAUUGUUCUAUCGGAUCAAAGCUAGCCUCUAGAUAAGAUUCUUACCUUGGUGAGAAUGCUUCAGGUCAAGCUCUGAUGUUUCUAUAUCAAUUUAAUCAAUCUCAUUGCUCAAGUUUGACACUUUUAACUCUCUAGUUCAUUCUGCAUAUCGUAACUGUUAAUACUUCAAGAGGAUAAAUUUCUCUAUGUCUCUUUGCUUUGCUUGAUUAUUUCACCGUGUAUCAGAACUUCAUAGCCGUGAGGUCUUGGCAUGAGGAUUAAACACGGUGGUACAUAAAAUAAAAUCAAUAAGCACAUAUGGCUGUAUCCAUCUGAUCAUGAAGAGAUUAAUUGGCAGUCUUAGCGCUACAGUUUGAGUUUUCUGCAUUUCAAUUAGUCUAAGGACUUUAGAAAGAGCUUCUGCUAUUGACUUGCACACUCUUUAAGACUGAUGUUUAGAUGCUCUGUUUAUACAAUCACUCAUGGAUGCUGAUCAAUUCAUGACUCUGUAUGCUAACCAAGCUCUUAUCUCUAUGGGCAUGUGACAUUUACAGGAUGAAGAUUGUAGCAAAACACUGAGAAAGGAAGCAGACAACUCGGCAGUACCUGGAUCUUAUGAAUGGCCUUCCCUCCAUUUCCCUCUCCUGGACAGCAAAAGCUGGGGAACUAUUCGGAGAAGAGACGCAGGUUAUGGAGAUGAUUAUGCAACUUGAUGAAAGCCAAAAUCUUGAUUCCAAGUCAAGCUACAUAGACCAACAGAUUAGCAUAAUGAAGUGACUUUUACUUCUCUUUCUUGGUAGCCCGUAGUGGUAUGGCAAAGAACUUU
rnacentral:lncRNA from 1 species